UGUGUGCAGACUGUCAUACGCGUAGACCUCAUACAGGUACAACUUAUAUUUGCAUUGAUACUAACAUAUGCUUUGACAAUUGUUCAAACUCGACAUGUGAAUGUUGCUCCGAGAAUCAUUCUUGCACGGACUGUGAAUGUGGGAGUUGCUUAGGAGGCGAUGGUGAUCAAUCUGGGAUACCGGUAUUGUUAGUUGUAGCUGUAAUCGUGCUAGGACUAUUCGCCCUACUUGGCAUGUUUUACAGUGUUUUGGUUGCUACAAUGGUCGUACAGAGAAUUUGGCAGCGACACUACCACAUACUCGAGAAAAGAAUGCUGA
rnacentral:misc_RNA from 1 species